AGGGUGUAAACGCUGCAGACUUGGUGUUGGAAGUCCUUUGGGGGCAUUCAGUGCCGGAGAGAAGUUGUUAAGUCUGCUACUUGGGGAGUACGUCCGCAAGGAUGAAACUUAAAGGAAUUGGCGGGGGAGCACCGCAACGGGAGGAGCGUGCGGUUUAAUUGGAUUCAACACCGGAAAACUCACCAGGGGAGACUGUUACAUGAAACCCAGACUAAUGAUCUUGGUUGAUUUUUCAGAGAGGAGGUGCAUGGCGUCAGUGACU
rnacentral:rRNA from 1 species